rnacentral:rRNA from 1 species
AGCUUAACAGCUAGUCCACCUAACCAAAACAAAACUUUCCAACAUAUCAAUACCCCCUAAUACACACAAACAUUACUAAACAAAACAUUUUUCCCCUUCAGUAUAGGCGAUAGAAAAAGAACCCAGGAACGACAGAAGAAGUACCGUAAGGGAAUGCUGAAAGACUCAUGAAACAGGACAACAAGCCUAAAAAAGCAGAGAUUUAAGCUCGUACCUUUUGCAUCAUGAUAUAGCUAGAAAACCUCGAGCAAAGAGCACUUUAGUUCGACUCCCCGAAACUAAGUGAGCUACUCCAAAACAGCCUAUCUAGGGCAAACCCGUCUCUGUGGCAAAAGAGUGGGAAGAAUUUUGAGUAGCGGUGACAGACCUAUCGAACUUAGUUAUAGCUGGUUGCCUGAGAAAUGAAUAGGAGUUCAGCCUAUUGGCUUCUUCACUCUCUUCCCUUCCUCAUCCCCUCUUCGGACGCCCAGAGAAACCAAUAGAGUUAAUCAAAGGGGGAACAGCUCCUUUGAUAUAAGACACAACUUUUGCAGGAGGAUAAAGAUCACAGUUAAACAAGGCAAAAAACUCAAGUGGGCUUAAGAGCAGCCAUCCUUAUAGAAAGCGUUAAAGCUCGAACUAAUUGUGCCGCCUCAUAAUUCCGAUAAUUUAAUUUUAAUCCCCUAACUUUACCAGGCCUCUCUAUGCAAACAUAGAAGAGAUCAUGCUAGAAUGAGUAAUAAGAGAGUUAUUUGACUUUCUCCUAUCACAAGUGUAAAUCGAAAUGGACCCACCACCGAAAAUUAACGGCCCCAAACAAAGAGGGUAUUGGACUACAACCUGAUACAUCUAGAAAAUCCCCCAAUAAAACACCGUUACCCCUACACUGGUGUGAUUUCAAGGAAAGACUAAAAGAAGAAGAAGGAACUCGGCAAAUUAAGGCCUCGCCUGUUUACCAAAAACAUCGCCUCUUGCAAAAUCAACGAAUAAGAGGUCUCGCCUGCCCUGUGACUAUAUGUUUAACGGCCGCGGUAUUUUGACCGUGCGAAGGUAGCGCAAUCACUUGUCUUUUAAAUGGGGACCUGUAUGAAUGGCAUAACGAGGGCCUAACUGUCUCCUUUUUCAAGUCAAUGAAAUUGAUCUUCCCGUGCAGAAGCGGAAAUAGCCCCAUAAGACGAGAAGACCCUAUGGAGCUUUAGACAAAAGUAGACCAUGUUAAACACCCUCGAAUAAGAGACCAAACUUAAUGCUUGCUGCCCUAAUGUCUUUGGUUGGGGUGACCGCGGCGAAACAAAUAACCCCCGUGUAGAAAGAGAGCUCCGUCUCUCCAAAUUAAGAGCUCCCGCUCAAACAAACAGAACAUCUGACUAAAUAAGAUCCGGCAACGCCGAUCAACGGACCGAGUUACCCUAGGGAUAACAGCGCAAUCCUCUUCUAGAGCCCAUAUCGACAAGAGGGUUUACGACCUCGAUGUUGGAUCAGGACAUCCUAAUGGUGCAGCCGCUAUUAAGGGUUCGUUUGUUCAACGAUUAAAGUCCUACGUGAUCUGAGUUCAGACCGGAGCAAUCCAGGUCAGUUUCUAUCUAUGACAUACUUUUUUCUAGUACGAAAGGACCGAAAAGAGGGGGCCCAUACUUCCAGCACGCCUCUCCCUUACCUUAUGAAAUUAACUAAAAUAGACAAAAGGGCAUACACCCCUAACUGAGAAAACGUUAU